rnacentral:lncRNA from 1 species
GAUGUCCCAUUCUCGUAAAGGCUAGGCAGAAUUGCUGUUGGGUUAACUCUAGACGGACUCAUAGGCCAAGGUAUGUGUUCCUCCAUAUUCAUUGAUCCACCUAGAUUCUGGUCUUCUCUAGAUGGGUCCGUGUAAGAGACGUGGGGUAUAGUUUCAUCCUCAGUUAUUGUGUCCGUAAAUGUUUGCAUGUGCCUAGCAGAAUCAUCUGGUAAACUGGCAGACUCGUCUUCCUCGUAAGACUUUGUAAAUGAAUUGUCUUCGCUCGUAGAAUUUGAGCACUUUCUCUGCAUAGACAUCAUCUUUUAUUUCUGAUAUCUGCCAAAACACUAAAGAAACCAAGAAAUAAAAGAUUAGAGAUACCUGCACCGGUUUUGUAAGAGAAGAAUCUGCAAGUAUGGGCUGGAUAGUUUGUGGUUCGUCUGUCCUUCUAACUUGUGAAGCGUGUUUUCUUGUUUUAUAGCGCAUUUGAAGGUUGAUUUCCUUACUGGGAGGGUAUUUUGGUAGACAAGAUGGAUCGCAAGGCAAUGGCUCAGUUUCAAAGUACUGUUUCACGGUGGAAGAAGAUAAUCAGUUGGAGUCAUAAGAACAAACCAGCAAUUAACAGAGGAAAAUGAAAAGAUCCC